CCUACGGGUGGCAGCAGUGAGGAAUAUUGGUCAAUGGGCGCGAGCCUGAACCAGCCAAGUAGCGUGAAGGAUGACUGCCCUACGGGUUGUAAACUUCUUUUAUAAAGGAAUAAAGUGAGGCACGUGUGCCUUUUUGUAUGUACUUUAUGAAUAAGGAUAGGCUAACCUCGUGCCAGCAGCCGCGGUAAUACGGAGGAUGCGAGCGUUAUCCGGAUUUAUUGGGUGUAAGGGGUGCGUAGGCGGGAUGCCAAGUCAGCGGUAAAAAUGCGGUGCUCAACGCCGUCGAGCCGUUGAAACUGGCGUUCUGGAGUGGGCGAGAAGUGUGCGGAAUGCGUGGUGUAGCAGUGAAAUGCAUAGAUAUCACGCAGAACUCCGAUUGCGAAGGCAGCAUACCGGCGCCCUACUGACGCUGAGGCACGAAAGCGUGGGUAUCGAACAGGAUUAGAUACCCCUGUAGUC
rnacentral:rRNA from 1 species